rnacentral:rRNA from 1 species
GAUGAACGCUGGCGGCGUGCCUAAUACAUGCAAGUCGAGCGAACAGACGAGGAGCUUGCUCCUUUGACGUUAGCGGCGGACGGGUGAGUAACACGUAGGUAACCUACCUAUAAGACUGGGAUAACUUCGGGAAACCGGAGCUAAUACCGGAUAAUAUUUCGAACCGCAUGGUUCGAUAGUGAAAGAUGGCUUUGCUAUCACUUAUAGAUGGACCUGCGCCGUAUUAGCUGGUUGGUAAGGUAACGGCUUACCAAGGCAACGAUACGUAGCCGACCUGAGAGGGUGAUCGGCCACACUGGAACUGAGACACGGUCCAGACUCCUACGGGAGGCAGCAGUAGGGAAUCUUCCGCAAUGGGCGAAAGCCUGACGGAGCAACGCCGCGUGAGUGAUGAAGGUCUUCGGAUCGUAAAACUCUGUUAUUAGGGAAGAACAAACGUGUAAGUAACUGUGCACGUCUUGACGGUACCUAAUCAGAAAGCCACGGCUAACUACGUG